AUUGAACGCUGGCGGCAUGCUUUACACAUGCAAGUCGAACGGUAACAGGCCGCAAGGUGCUGACGAGUGGCGAACGGGUGAGUAAUGUAUCGGAACGUGCCCAGUCGUGGGGGAUAACGCAGCGAAAGCUGUGCUAAUACCGCAUACGAUCUAUGGAUGAAAGCGGGGGACCGUAAGGCCUCGCGCGAUUGGAGCGGCCGAUAUCAGAUUAGGUAGUUGGUGGGGUAAAGGCUCACCAAGCCAACGAUCUGUAGCUGGUCUGAGAGGACGACCAGCCACACUGGGACUGAGACACGGCCCAGACUCCUACGGGAGGCAGCAGUGGGGAAUUUUGGACAAUGGGCGCAAGCCUGAUCCAGCAAUGCCGCGUGCAGGACGAAGG
rnacentral:rRNA from 1 species